CCUACGGGAGGCAGCAGUAGGGAAUCUUCCGCAAUGGACGAAAGUCUGACGGAGCAACGCCGCGUGAGUGAUGAAGGCUUUCGGGUCGUAAAACUCUGUUGUUAGGGAAGAACAAGUGCUAGUUGAAUAAGCUGGCACCUUGACGGUACCUAACCAGAAAGCCACGGCUAACUACGUGCCAGCAGCCGCGGUAAUACGUAGGUGGCAAGCGUUAUCCGGAAUUAUUGGGCGUAAAGCGCGCGCAGGUGGUUUCUUAAGUCUGAUGUGAAAGCCCACGGCUCAACCGUGGAGGGUCAUUGGAAACUGGAAGGCUAGAGUAUCAGAGAGGUGGGCGGAACUACAAGUGUAGAGGUGAAAUUCGUAGAUAUUUGUAGGAAUGCCGAUUGGGAAGCCAGCUCACUGGAUGAAUACUGACGCUGAAGCGCGAAAGCGUGGGGAGCAAACGGGAUUAGAUACCCCGGUAGUCCACGCCGUAAACGAUGAUCACUAAGUGUGGGGGGUCGAACCUCCGUGCUCAAGCUAACGCGAUAAGUGAUCCGCCUGGGGAGUACGCACGCAAGUGUGAAACUCAAAGGAAUUGACGGA
rnacentral:rRNA from 1 species